UCCCUCAUAGAUCAGUUGGUAAAUCAUCUGCCUGCAAUGCAGGAGAGCCAGGUUCGAUUCCUGGGUUGGGAA
rnacentral:tRNA from 1 species